GACGAACGCUGGCGGCGUGCUUAACACAUGCAAGUCGAACGGUGAAGGGGUCUGCUUUUGUGGGCCCUGGAUGAGUGGCGAACGGGUGAGUAACACGUGAGUAACCUGCCCCCUUCUUCUGGAUAACCGCAUGAAAGUGUGGCUAAUACGGGAUAUUCUGGGUCUGUCGCAUGAUGGGUCUGGGAAAGAUUGCGCCUUUGGGUGUUUUUGGUGGGGGAUGGGCUCGCGGCCUAUCAGCUUGUUGGUGGGGUGAUGGCCUACCAAGGCGGUGACGGGUAGCCGGCGUGAGAGGGUGGACGGUCACACUGGGACUGAGACACGGCCCAGAAUCCUACGGGAGGCAGCAGUGGGGAAUAUUGCACAAUGGGCGCAAGCCUGAUGCAGCGACGCCGCGUGAGGGAUGGAGGCCUUCGGGUUGUAAACCUCUUUCGCCAGUGAAGCAGGCCUGCUGCUUGUGGGUGGGUUGACGGUAGCUGGAUAAGAAGCGCCGGCUAACUACGUG
rnacentral:rRNA from 1 species